AAUGAACGCUGGCGGCAUGCCUAACACAUGCAAGUCGAACGAAGGCUUCGGCCUUAGUGGCGCACGGGUGCGUAACGCGUGGGAAUCUGCCCUUGGGUUCGGAAUAACAGUUAGAAAUGACUGCUAAUACCGGAUGAUGUCGUAAGACCAAAGAUUUAUCGCCCAAGGAUGAGCCCGCGUAGGAUUAGCUAGUUGGUGGGGUAAAGGCCUACCAAGGCGACGAUCCUUAGCUGGUCUGAGAGGAUGAUCAGCCACACUGGGACUGAGACACGGCCCAGACUCCUACGGGAGGCAGCAGUGGGGAAUAUUGGACAAUGGGCGAAAGCCUGAUCCAGCAAUGCCGCGUGAGUGAUGAAGGCCUUAGGGUUGUAAAGCUCUUUUACCCGGGAUGAUAAUGACAGUACCGGGAGAAUAAGCUCCGGCUAACUUCGU
rnacentral:rRNA from 1 species